ACGACCGCCAACAGGAAAGGGGGAGGGGAGAUGAAGAAGGAAGAGGGCGGCACCGCUAUCAUGGUCGCCAAGGCAUGAUGAGCUCCGGCAUGGAAGGUGGACAAUGUUGCUGGCCUCGACUUUGACUACCUCGACGACGACAGUUACAUUCCGACUCGGAUGCGAAUCUCUUGGCAGUUUUAAAUCACCAUGUUGGGAGAGAUCUCCAUGUGGUUGCUGUUGAGUUUUGAGAGCUUACCUGGUAGAGGAGUUGUAUCUACUUUUGAGCAGCAUAAAG